rnacentral:rRNA from 1 species
UGUGUAGGCGGCUCUCUAAGUUUGGUGUGAAAUCUCCCGGCUCAACCGGGAGGGUGCGCCGAAGACUGGAGGGCUAGAGUGCGGGAUGGGAGAGUAGAAUUCCUGGUGUAGCGGUGAAAUGCGUAGAUAUCAGGAGGAAUACCGGUGGUGUAGACGGCUCUCUGGACCGCAACUGACGCUGAAACACGAAAGCGUGGGUAGCGAAACAGGAUUAGAUACCCUGGUAGUCCACGCCCUAAACGAUGCAUAUUUGGUGUAGGUCAUUCAGUUGAUCUGUGCCGGAGCUAACGCGUUAAAUAUGCCGCCUGGGGAGUACAGUCGCAAGGCUGAA